rnacentral:rRNA from 1 species
GAACUGAAGAGUUUGAUCCUGGCUCAGAUUGAACGCUGGCGGCAUGCCUUACACAUGCAAGUCGAACGGUAACGCGGGGCAAC